GGGGCAAGGUGGUGCUGGUGCUGGAGGUGUGGCCAGGCCUGUACACACACCUCACCUCCCAGCUGAUGGCCCUGGCGCGGGGCAAGGUGGUGCUGGUGCUGGAGGUGUGGCCAGGCCUGUACACACACUUCACCUCCCAGCUGAUGGCCCUGGCGCGGGGCAAGGUGGUGCUGGUGCUGGAGGUGACCAGUCUGACCUCACCCAAACAUAGUGGCAGGAACUGAGCACCACACAUCCACACACUGGGUGGGAGCUGCCUGCCGUGCAGGCCAAGAGUGCCGCCCACACCCUCAGUGCCUUGCUGGGCCACCACUGCCCCCCUGCUGGACCCCCCUGCAGCCAUCACCAAGCCUUCAGGAGACACUGCUGAGCCUGGUGUACGUCCAGCGGGCACACUGGCGCUGCUUCCAGUACCAGGGGUCCUUAUGCCAGCAGGAGGUGUGGGGCGAGGCUGACCCCAGCACCUUCACCCCGAGCCUCUCCUUCCAAGGCCUGGUGGGUGUCUGGCCCUUAUGCCUACAGACCAGACACCAUGCAGCUCCUGACACCAUAGACACAGCAGCUCAGGGAGAGGAUUGAUGAGAAACUGCUGCAGCUGAGGAGGGAAGAGGCCGUGGUGCUGAGUGAGUCUCCGAGGCUGUGUCUGGUGUGUGACGAGCAGGUGGAGCAACACGCAGCCUUACGGAAGGGUAAGUGCACUACACACUAAGGUGUUUUUUCAUUCACAGACAAAACAUAAUGAAGAUAGUCUAAGUACUCUGAUGUACCUGAGGCAGCUCUUGGUACCUCCCAGGACUUUCUCUGCCUCUGUGGUGGAUAGUGGAGUGUUUCCCAUGUGGUAUUAGUGUGCUGGAUAUCCCUUCACUGGUAGCCUGGUAACAUACACUCCCAGGUC